UAACAAUCUCUUGAAAUCUUU
rnacentral:piRNA from 1 species